AAAAGGCAGUAUAUUUUUCUUGUAUCAGAUCUGUAUGCACUAUUUAAUAAUUUCACCAAUUUAUUUAUUUACUUACUUGCCAUAGACUCUCAGUCUGUAUUCAUUUGAAUUGACUGCCACAAGGAAAACUUGUUUAAGUUCCUUUUGCCAGAUCUGAAUUCUGUUUUGCUGCUUUCCCAUUUACUGCCUCACGUGGACUAAAGACUAAGUUCUGCAAAUGCUAAUAUAGGUUCUGAACCAUAGAUGGAGAAUGAUGAGAUUUUGCAAGCAAACUCACAGGAGUCUGAACUGAAGACUGCAGAACUACAUGUCUCCUGAAAUGCAAAUGGCUUCAGCUGAGAUUCUUACGAGUGCCUAAGAGAUGAAGGAAUACUUCUAUGGCUGCAAUCCUUAGAGACUUUUUACCCCAACUGUCCACCUGAAGAAUGGAUAUAGCAUAUUUUCUUUUCAGAAGAUGCUGUGAAGAUACUUCCAUUACUGUCAUACUGAAAGUGCUGGCAGACAUGCUUCUUACGAUACUGUGUAAGUAUCUAAGAUUUCAUGAGUUUCAACCUA
ensembl:lncRNA